UGGCACCGGCCCUGGUCUAUUUUUUGUUUUACUUGACAAUGCCUCAUGCGGGCCUUCUGCAGGUCUGGGUGCAAUUUUUUUUGCACCCCCAAUUUACAGUUUUGUAUGCUUUUCUUUUUUCUUUUAUUAUUUAUUGUUUUUUCUUUUAUUUUUAGAAUUAGGACCUUAAACCCAUUUAUCAUCUUUAUUCUCACACUCUUAUAUUGAUAGUGCAUCCUCC
rnacentral:lncRNA from 1 species